AUUGAACGCUGGCGGCAGGCUUAACACAUGCAAGUCGAGCGGGGGAAGGUAGCUUGCUACUGGACCUAGCGGCGGACGGGUGAGUAAUGCUUAGGAAUCUGCCUAUUAGUGGGGGACAACAUCUCGAAAGGGAUGCUAAUACCGCAUACGUCCUACGGGAGAAAGCAGGGGAUCUUCGGACCUUGCGCUAAUAGAUGAGCCUAAGUCGGGAUUAGCUAGUUGGUGGGGUAAAGGCCUACCAAGGCGACGAUCUGUAGCGGGUCUGAGAGGAUGAUCCGCCGAGCUGGGACUGAGACACGGCCCAGGCCCCUACGGGAGGCAGCAGUGGGGAAUAUUGGACAAUGGGGAGAACCCUGAUCCAGCCAUGACGCGUGUGUGAAGAAGGCCUUAUGGUUGUAAAGCACUUUAAGCGAGGAGGAGGCUACUUUAGUUAAUACCUAGGGAUAGUGGACGUUACUCGCAGAAUAAGCACCGGCUAACUCUGUGCCAGCCGCCGCCGUAAAAC
rnacentral:rRNA from 1 species